AGAGUUUGAUCCUGGCUCAGGAUGAACGCUAGCGAUAGGCUUAACACAUGCAAGUCGAGGGGCAGCAUUAUUUUAGCUUGCUAAGAUAGAUGGCGACCGGCGCACGGGUGCGUAACGCGUAUGCAACCUGCCUGUAAUUAGGGAAUAACCCGGUGAAAGUCGGACUAAUACCCUAUAUUCAUCGUUAAUCGCAUGAUUGGUGAUGGAAAGAUUUAUUGAUUACAGAUGGGCAUGCGUCCCAUUAGCUAGUUGGUAAGGUAACGGCUUACCAAGGCAACGAUGGGUAGGGGGACUGAGAGGUUGACCCCCCACACUGGUACUGAGACACGGACCAGACUCCUACGGGAGGCAGCAGUGAGGAAUAUUGGUCAAUGGGCGAGAGCCUGAACCAGCCAAGUCGCGUGAAGGAAGACGGUUCUAUGGAUUGUAAACUUCUUUUGUAGAGGAAUAAUGGCAGCUACGUGUAGCUGAGAUGCAUGUACUCUACGAAUAAGUAUCGGCUAACUCCGUGCCAGCAGCCGCGGUAAUACGGAGGAUACGAGCGUUAUCCGGAAUUAUUGGGUUUAAAGGGUGCGUAGGUGGCGUAUUAAGUCAGUGGUGAAAAGCUGCAGCUCAACUGUAGUCUUGCCGUUGAAACUGAUAUGCUAGAGAGGAGACGAGGUAUGCGGAAUGUGUGGUGUAGCGGUGAAAUGCAUAGAUAUCACACAGAACGCCGAUUGCGAAGGCAGCGUACCAGGCUCCGUCUGACACUGAAGCACGAAAGCGUGGGGAUCAAACAGGAUUAGAUACCCUGGUAGUCCACGCAGUAAACGAUGAAUACUAGAUUUUUGCGAUAUACUGUAAGAGUCUAAGCGAAAGCGAUAAGUAUUCCACCUGGGGAGUACGCCGGCAACGGUGAAACUCAAAGGAAU
rnacentral:rRNA from 1 species